rnacentral:rRNA from 1 species
GGAUUAGAUACCCUGGUAGUCCACGCCGUAAACGAUGGGUGCUAGAUAUUGGAGCUUAGUUUCAGUGUCGUAGCUAACGCGUUAAGCACCCCGCCUGGGGAGUACGGUCGCAAGAUUAAAACUCAAAGGAAUUGACGGGGGCCCGCACAAGCGGUGGAGCAUGUGGUUUAAUUCGAUGCAACGCGAAGAACCUUACCAACCCUUGACAUCUAGGUCGCGGAUUUCAGAGAUGAUUUCCUUCAGCUCGGCUGGACCUAUGACAGGUGUUGCAUGGCUGUCGUCAGCUCGUGCUG